GUCUUCUUGUAAUAUUUAGGAAGUCUGACCUGCCCAGUGAAAAUUUAAAUUUAACGGCCGCGGUAUUCUGACCGUGCAAAGGUAGCAUAAUCAUUAGUCUUUUAAUAGAGGGCUGGAAUGAAGGGUUUGACGAGGUGUUGACUGUCUCAUUUAAUUUGAAUUUAGAAUUUAACUUUUUAGUCAAAAGGCUGAAAUAGUAUUGGAAGACGAGAAGACCCUAUAGAGCUUUAUAAUAUUUUUAUUAAUAAAUUUUGGUAAAUGGUUAUUUAUUAUUAUAAUCUAUUAUUUUGUUGGGGUGACAAAAAUAUAUAAUGAACUUUUUUAUUUAUUUAACAUUGAUUUAUGAUUAUUAGAUCCAAUUUUAUUGAUUAUUAGAACAAGUUACCUUAGGGAUAACAGCGUAAUCUUCUUUCAGAGUUCAUAUUUACAAGAAGGCUUGCGACCUCGAUGUUGGAUUAAGAUGAUAAUUAGGUGUAGCUGCUUAAUGUAUAGGUCUGUUCGACCUUUAAAUUCUU
rnacentral:rRNA from 1 species